AUUGAACGCUGGCGGAGGGCCUAACACAUGAAGUUCGGGCGAGCGGCGGCCGGGUGAUUAAUGUAUGGGGAUCUGCCUGAUGGCGGGGGAUAACUACUGGAAACGGUAGCUAAUCCCUCAUACCAUCAGAUGAACCCAUAUGGGAUUAGCUAGUAGGUAAGGUAACGGCUUCCCUAGGCGCCGAUCCUUAGCUGGUCUGAGAGGAUGAGCAGCCACACUGGGACUGAGACACGGCCCAGACUCCUACGGGAGGCAGCAGUGGGGAAUAUUGCACAAUGGGCGCAAGCCUGAUGCAGCCAUGCCGCGUGUAGGAAGAAGGCCUUCGGGUUGUAAAGUACUUUCAGUCGGGAGGCGUUACCGACAGAAGAAGCACCGGCUAACUCCGUGCCAGCAGCCGCGGUAAUAC
rnacentral:rRNA from 1 species